CCUACGGGAGGCAGCAGUGGGGAAUCUUGCGCAAUGGGCGAAAGCCUGACGCAGCAACGCCGCGUGCGGGAAGAAGGCUUUCGGGCUGUAAACCGCUUUCAGCAGGAACGAAAAUGACGGUACCUGCAGAAGAAGGAGCGGCCAACUAUGUGCCAGCAGCCGCGGUGAUACAUAGGCUUCAAGCGUUGUCCGGAUUUAUUGGGCGUAAAGAGUUCGUAGGCGGUCGAGUAAGUCGGGUGUGAAAAUUCUGGGCUCAACCCAGAGACGCCACCCGAUACUGCUUGACUUGAGUUCGAUAGGGGAGUGGGGAAUUCCUAGUGUGGCGGUGAAAUGCGCAGAUAUUAGGAGGAACACCGGUGGCGAAGGCGCCACUCUGGAUCGAUACUGACGCUGAGGAACGAAAGCAUGGGUAGCAAACAGGAUUAGAUACCCUGGUAGUCCAUGCCGUAAACGGUGGGCACUAGGUGUGGGUUUCUAUUAACGAAAUCCGCGCCGUCGCUAACGCAUUAAGUGCCCGCCUGGGGAGUCGGUCGCAAGCUAAACNCAAAGGAAUUGAGGCUUGAGAGUUGCGAGCGCGACGAGGGAGGAGG
rnacentral:rRNA from 1 species